UACGUAGGUCCCGAGCGUUGUCCGGAUUUAUUGGGCGUAAAGCGAGCGCAGGUGGUUUAAUAAGUCUGAUGUAAAAGGCAGUGGCUCAACCAUUGUGUGCAUUGGAAACUGUUAGACUUGAGUGCAGAAGAGGAAAGUGGAAUUCCAUGUGUAGCGGUGAAAUGCGUAGAGAUAUGGAGGAACACCGGUGGCGAAAGCGGCUCUCUGGACUGUAACUGACACUGAGGCUCGAAAGCGUGGGUAGCAAACAGG
rnacentral:rRNA from 1 species